ACAGGAUCCGCCCGGCUGACGUGCGCGUGCUGCACCGUGGCGUAAACCACCGCCUGGUCCCGGUCGGGAGAGCUGCCCCGCACCGAUCCUGAGCCAGAUCGGAGAAGAACCGUGAAGCAACCCUGAAAACUGCUCUGGCACCUGGAUGUCCUGGCUGUCAGCAGGGUCCUGGCUGCAGCCACCGCUGCUCCUCCUGUGGUCUUCGAGGGAAUGGAAACGGAGAGGAGGGGGAAAUUAAAAACAUGGAAGAAGCAGCAAAAUUCCAGCUCUUUCCCUGCCCUCCCUCAGCGAGGGAGGGAGAGAUAAAGAGAGAACAGUUCCGUAUUGUUCCGCGUGCUCAGCCUGUACCCAAAGUCAUGGCAUUUAUGAAAUUCCAAACACUGGCCCGAUUUACGCAAUCUGGCAGCUCCCUGUGUUGU